rnacentral:rRNA from 1 species
UGAGGAAUAUUGGUCAAUGGCCGGGAGGCUGAACCAGCCAAGUCGCGUGAGGGAAGACGGCCCUACGGGUUGUAAACCUCUUUUGUCGGGGAGCAAAGGCGGUCACGUGUGGCCGGAUGAGAGUACCCGAAGAAAAAGCAUCGGCUAACUCCGUGCCAGCAGCCGCGGUAAUACGGAGGAUGCGAGCGUUAUCCGGAUUUAUUGGGUUUAAAGGGUGCGCAGGCGGCACUGCAAGUCAGCGGUCAAAAUGCGGGGCUCAACCCCGUCGAGCCGUUGAAACUGCGGUCCUUGAGUGCGCGAGAAGUAUGCGGAAUGCGUGGUGUAGCGGUGAAAUGCAUAGAUAUCACGCAGAACUCCGAUUGCGAAGGCAGCAUACCGGCGCGCAACUGACGCUCAUGCACGAAAGCGUGGGUAUCGAACAGGAUUAGAUACC